CUCAAGAAGGAGCUUUGGACAUUCUCCAUCAUUUCAUAGGUGUAGGGGCAUCGCCACAUCAGAGUUGCAGAGGCCCUUCCAUUCUCUCUCCUUCGUCCAUAGGAAAGUCGUUACCUUACGUUGCCUUCAUCGAAUAACAGAACAACGACUAUAA